UUUGGAAGUCAUUUGACCGAGAUAAUUUUAAUUCUUUCUGUUUUUUGUUUCUCAUCUCCGAUCUGCGGUGAUCGUCGAAAAUACCUACUUGCAUAUUCUCUCAUGGUAUCAUAGCUUUCAUGCUCCACUUGGUGAGUUCAAUCGAUCCCUAUCGUGAUGUCGUAAUUCCGUUCCUAAUCCUCCUCAAGGUAAUGUUAUGGAUCGGAAAAUAUCUGAUUUUCUUGAAGCUUUCACCCGGACGGAGAAUUGGGUCUGGUGGAUUCCGACAACCGCUUUUUAUUGCCGGUUUUGCCGUUGCCCUCUCUUAGAUGUUCAGGUUGGUUUGCUUGGUUUGAACUUGCAGAACUGUUGAUUUUUGUUUUCCAAAGGCAGAUUGUUCCUAAACAAAAUAAACAAACAGAAUAUAUCAUCAAAUGUGGACUACAUCCUAAAUAAAUGUAGAAUAUUUUUAAAAGGUAGCUAAGCUAACAUUAUGCUUCAAAUUUCUUCUCACCUUUAUAAUAUGAUUUCCUCAAUAAUCAGGAUAACUUUUUAAUUAUUGAGAGUCAUUG
rnacentral:lncRNA from 1 species